rnacentral:rRNA from 1 species
UGGUGGGGUGACUUGUCUGCUUAAUUGCGAUAACGAACGAGACCUUAACCUGCUAAAUAGCCCGCAUUGCCCCGGCCAGUGCGCUGGCUUCUUAGAGGGACUUUCGGCUCAAGCCGAAGGAAGUUUGAGGCAAUAACA